AAGACUAUAGACCUGCGGAGUACCUGCGGAAGGAUCAUUACUGCUUGCUUACCGUCUCGCUCGGGAAACCGAGCGUCGACGGGGCAUGCCACCCUUGCCUACGCAUACCCGUUUGUUACUCCCUCGGCGGGGCAGCCCGCCGCCGGGAACACGUAAAACCCCUUUGCAUGAAGCAUCCAACCUUCUGAACAAAACGAAAUAAUCACAACUUUUAACAAUGGAUCUCUAGAUCGGAAGAGC
rnacentral:misc_RNA from 1 species